GAUUUCUGGUACGGCGCACUUGGCCCGCUUCGGUUACGGAGUUGAGUGCCGGUGUGCGCCUGCCAUCCUUCCGGGAUACGACUCUCCCUUCACUGGGUUGGGCCGGAAUCCGGAUCAUUUACUUUGAAAAAAUUAGAGUGUUUAAAGCAGGCUUACGCUAUGAAUACAUUAGCAUGGAAUAAUAAUCUAGGACUUUCGGUUCUAUUUUGUUGGUGUUCUGGAGCUGAAGUAAUGAUUGAUAGGGAUAGUUGGGGGUGCUAGUAUUCAAUGGCCAGAGGUGAAAUUCUCGGAUUCCUUGAAGACUAACUUAUGCGAAAGCAUU
rnacentral:rRNA from 1 species